rnacentral:rRNA from 1 species
AUUGAACGCUGGCGGCGGGCCUAACACAUGCAAGUCGAACGGUAACAGGAAGCAGCUUGCUGCUUUGCUGACGAGUGGCGGACGGGUGAGUAAUGUCUGGGAAACUGCCUGAUGGAGGGGGAUAACUACUGGAAACGGUAGCUAAUACCGCAUAACGUCGCAAGACCAAAGAGGGGGACCUUAGGGCCUCUUGCCAUCGGAUGUGCCCAGAUGGGAUUAGCUAGUAGGUGGGGUAACGGCUCACCUAGGCGACGAUCCCUAGCUGGUCUGAGAGGAUGACCAGCCACACUGGAACUGAGACACGGUCCAGACUCCUACGGGAGGCAGCAGUGGGGAAUAUUGCACAAUGGGCGCAAGCCUGAUGCAGCCAUGCCGCGUGUAUGAAGAAGGCCUUCGGGUUGUAAAGUACUUUCAGCGGGGAGGAAGGGAGUAAAGUUAAUACCUUUGCUCAUUGACGUUACCCGCAGAAGAAGCACCGGCUAACUCCGUG